AGGUGUUGACAGGGGAUGAAAUGUCCCAGAUUGAUGACAUCAUGCUCUCAGCGAUCGAUUUUGGCCUACAAGGCUAUACGGGUACCCCCUCUGCGUCUAGGGCUCGUCCUAAGAAAAAGAAUUCCUCGAAGAUGCCAAAACGUGUGAAGAAGCGGCCAUUGAGCUUUGUGGAUAUGUUGAAUGCACCUGAUUCGCCCGCGGAUCAAGAGAGGGUGGAGG